GCUAUGUGUGGUUUCACCUACAGGUGAUCAUAGUUCCUAGAGAGGCUGAGGUUAGUGGAUCACUUGGGCUCAGGAGUUCUGAGUUGCAAUAUGUUAAGCCAAUCAGGCGUCCUUUCUAAGUCCAGCACCAAUAUGAUGAGCUCCAGGGAGCAGAGGGCCAGCAGGCUGCCUAAGACAGAGCAAACAGAAUAGGUCACAGAUCCCAUGCUAAUCAGCAGUAGGAUUAGGCCUGUGAGUGGCCACUACACUUCCAGCCUGGAUGAGAUAAGGAAACUGGAUCUCA
rnacentral:SRP_RNA from 1 species